rnacentral:rRNA from 1 species
UACGAAGGGGGCUAGCGUUGUUCGGAUUUACUGGGCGUAAAGCGCACGUAGGCGGAUCGAUCAGUCAGGGGUGAAAUCCCAGGGCUCAACCCUGGAACUGCCUUUGAUACUGUCGAUCUGGAGUAUGGAAGAGGUGAGUGGAAUUCCGAGUGUAGAGGUGAAAUUCGUAGAUAUUCGGAGGAACACCAGUGGCGAAGGCGGCUCACUGGUCCAUUACUGACGCUGAGACACGGAAAGCCAG